AGUGAACGCUGGCGGUAGGCCUAACACAUGCAAGUCGAACGGCAGCACAGUAAGAGCUUGCUCUUACGGGUGGCGAGUGGCGGACGGGUGAGGAAUACAUCGGAAUCUACUUUUUCGUGGGGGAUAACGUAGGGAAACUUACGCUAAUACCGCAUACGACCUACGGGUGAAAGCAGGGGAUCUUCGGACCUUGCGCGAUUGAAUGAGCCGAUGUCGGAUUAGCUAGUUGGCGGGGUAAAGGCCCACCAAGGCGACGAUCCGUAGCUGGUCUGAGAGGAUGAUCAGCCACACUGGAACUGAGACACGGUACAGACUACUACAGGAGGCAGCAGUGGGGAAUAUUGGACAAUGGGCGCAAGCCUGAUCCAACCAUGCCGCGUGGGUGAAGAAGGCCUUCGGGUUGUAAAGCCCUUUUGUUGGGAAAGAAAAGCAGCAGGUUAAUACCCCGCUGUUCUGACGGUACCCAAAGAAUAAGCACCGGCUAACUUCGUG
rnacentral:rRNA from 1 species